rnacentral:lncRNA from 1 species
ACGAUGCCCUGAUUGAAGCCCAAUGUCACAAUGCUGAAGUCCCCGAAACUUGCAUAAAAUGCGUAAAAUCUGAUCCUCGAAGUCAAUCAGCCAAUAAAGUUGGCAUUGCCGCCAUCAUCAUAACUUGUCUUAGCAACAAAGCCACGACCUUGAUAAACAACAUGACGACUCUUGCUUCGGGCGCUCGCGACAAGAACUUGAAAGUGGCUCUCCGAGGUUGCGAGAAAGGGUUUUACUACACAAAAACCAAUUUGAUCUCUGCGACGAGCCGAUUGAAGGGGAAAGAAUAUGAUCAAACGAAUCUUCUGGUGAAACAAGCGCUCGAAGAAGAAUUUGUUUG